ensembl:lncRNA
CUCCAUUAUACAAGUUAUGAACUGGAAUCCCACUACAUCAUUCCCAGCUAAUUGGUCAUGGGCAUGAUUCUCUGUGGCGUUGGGGGUCCCACCUGACCCUGUAUGAGUGCUAAGGCCUGAGAAUUGGAUUACAGCUUAUCCAUAUCAGCAUCUGUAGCUUCCUAACAAAGCCUGUGGGCCCCUGGGCAUAUUUCAAGCAAGACAGAAUUCACCAAGGACACUCCUGACUGGAAAAGUGGAAUGGCAGAAGACUAUCCGUUGCCAUAAUCCUCUUUCCCUCAACACAUUACCUGAUGCACCAGCACAUCGACUGGCUAGCACUACCAACAGAAGCGAAAGAGGUGUAUAUUAAUGUUAUAUGGACAUUUUCACACACUCAUCUUUGGCUGAUGAAAGCAUAUUUUUGUCAUUGUUGCAUUGAAACAAGUAUUUUCUGUUAAGCUGUUAAUAUGUAUUGUAAAAAGCAUAUACAAAUACAAAUAAACUUGAAUUUAAU